rnacentral:rRNA from 1 species
ACGAACGCUGGCGGCAUGCCUAACACAUGCAAGUCGAACGAAGGCUUCGGCCUUAGUGGCGCACGGGUGCGUAACGCGUGGGAAUCUGCCCUAUGCAUCGGAAUAACAGUUAGAAAUGACUGCUAAUACCGGAUGAUGUCGCAAGACCAAAGAUUUAUCGGCAAAGGAUGAGCCCGCGUAGGAUUAGCUAGUUGGUGGGGUAAAGGCCUACCAAGGCGACGAUCCUUAGCUGGUCUGAGAGGAUGAUCAGCCACACUGGGACUGAGACACGGCCCAGACUCCUACGGGAGGCAGCAGUGGGGAAUAUUGGACAAUGGGCGAAAGCCUGAUCCAGCAAUGCCGCGUGAGUGAUGAAGGCCUUAGGGUUGUAAAGCUCUUUUACCCGGGAUGAUAAUGACAGUACCGGGAGAAUAAGCUCCGGCUAACUCCGUG